UAAAUGUCUGUGUAAACUUGACAUUUUACUUUCAAUCUGUUUUGGCUUUAUCAAAUAUAGAACAUUAAUCUCUACAAGUUAGAAGUAGUUUUUAGAUUUAGAAACUUUGCAAAUUGGUUUAGUAUUUGUUACUCUUCUUAAUACAGACUUGAUUAUCAUUUGAUGACAAUUAUGCUUAUGACUUAAUGAAAACAAUAUCAAAGUUGAAUGUUUUAAAUUUGUUUAUUUAUA